AACUUUGCACAUUGACAGUGCUACAGCCAGUGAGGUUUAUCUGAGGUGCAAUUAUACCUAACUGAAAACUUUUCCCAAUACCCUGCCAUGAUGACUUGAAAUAUAGUUGGCAUUGGCAAUUUUUGAGAGCUUCUAUAGAAA